CAUGCAAGUCGAGCGGGGGAAGGUAGCUUGCUACCGGACCUAGCGGCGGACGGGUGAGUAAUGCUUAGGAAUCUGCCUAUUAGUGGGGGACAACAUCUCGAAAGGGAUGCUAAUACCGCAUACGUCCUACGGGAGAAAGCAGGGGAUCUUCGGACCUUGCGCUAAUAGAUGAGCCUAAGUCGGAUUAGCUAGUUGGUGGGGUAAAGGCCUACCAAGGCGACGAUCUGUAGCGGGUCUGAGAGGAUGAUCCGCCACACUGGGACUGAGACACGGCCCAGACUCCUACGGGAGGCAGCAGUGGGGAAUAUUGGACAAUGGGGGGAACCCUGAUCCAGCCAUGCCGCGUGUGUGAAGAAGGCCUUAUGGUUGUAAAGCACUUUAAGCGAGGAGGAGGCUACUUUAGUUAAUACCUAGAGAUAGUGGACGUUACUCGCAGAAUAAGCACCGGCUAACUCUGUGCCAGCAGCCGCGGUAAUACAGAGGGUGCGAGCGUUAAUCGGAUUUACUGGGCGUAAAGCGUGCGUAGGCGGCUUAUUAAGUCGGAUGUGAAAUCCCCGAGCUUAACUUGGGAAUUGCAUUCGAUACUGGUGAGCUAGAGUAUGGGAGAGGAUGGUAGAAUUCCAGGUGUAGCGGUGAAAUGCGUAGAGAUCUGGAGGAAUACCGAUGGCGAAGGCAGCCAUCUGGCCUAAUACUGACGCUGAGGUACGAAAGCAUGGGGAGCAAACAGGAUUAGAUACCCUGGUAGUCCAUGCCGUAAACGAUGUCUACUAGCCGUUGGGGCCUUUGAGGCUUUAGUGGCGCAGCUAACGCGAUAAGUAGACCGCCUGGGGAGUACGGUCGCAAGACUAAAACUCAAAUGAAUUGACGGGGGCCCGCACAAGCGGUGGAGCAUGUGGUUUAAUUCGAUGCAACGCGAAGAACCUUACCUGGCCUUGACAUACUAGAAACUUUCCAGAGAUGGAUUGGUGCCUUCGGGAAUCUAGAUACAGGUGCUGCAUGGCUGUCGUCAGCUCGUGUCGUGAGAUGUUGGGUUAAGUCCCGCAACGAGCGCAACCCUUUUCCUUACUUGCCAGCAUUUCGGAUGGGAACUUUAAGGAUACUGCCAGUGACAAACUGGAGGAAGGCGGGGACGACGUCAAGUCAUCAUGGCCCUUACGGCCAGGGCUACCCCCGUGCUACAAUGGUCGGUACAAAGGGUUGCUA
rnacentral:rRNA from 1 species